AUGGGGGACACGGGGCGGGACAUGGGGCGGGGGCGGCCGCCGUUUCCUGUGCGCGAUCGCGGCGGAGCGAGAGCGGCCGGAGGUACCGGGAAUGGGGGGCAGCGCUGCGCCGGGGGUGGGGGGCGCGGGGGGCGCGGGGGGGGAAGGGGUCCCGGUGCCGGUUCCUACGGGGGCUCCGCUCCCCGUCUCCCCCGCACGGGACCCCGUCUACUCCUCCCACGCCUCCCACCCCCUCCCCCAGUGCCGUUCCCCGAGCCCCGUUCCGCACCCCCGGGCCGUUGUGUCCCCCCCUUCCCGGACCCCUUUUCCCGUCCCCGGCACCCCCAGGCUCUGCACCCUGACCCCGGCACCCCCCGUCCCGCCCCCGCACCGCGAACCUUGCACCCCGUCCUCUGCCUGCACCCCUUGUCCUGUCUCCCGUCCCCUGCACCCCAAACCCCGCACCCCGUCGUGUGUCCUGCGCCCCAAACCCUGGAACCCUUUGUCCUGCGCCCCGUCCCCUGCACCCCAUCCUCUCCCUGCACCCCUUCGCCGCCCCCCAGCUCGUCUCCCCUCCCCCGCAUCCCUUAUCCCCUCGCUGCACCCCAGACCCUGCACCCCAUCUUGCCCCCUGCACCCUCUCCUGCCUCCCUAAUCCCUUCCCUGCCCCCCAAAACCCUGCCCCUCCUUUCCCAUCCCCGCACUCCAUCUUGUCUCCCGCACCUCAUUUUCUCCACCCCUCCCCUUGUGCCCUGCACCCCAAACCCUGCACCCCAAACCCUGCACUCUCUCCCUGCCCCAAAUCCCCCCCCUGCACCCCAAACCCUGCCCCAUUAUGUCCCCAAACCCUGCACCCCAUCCUUCCCCCCGUAUCCAGUCCCUGCACCCCCUCCUCUCCCCGCACCCCAGAUCUCAUCCCUGCACCCCUUCCUGACCCCCAUCCCCCAUCCUUUGCACCCCACCUUGCCCCUGCACCCCUUCCCUGACCCCUUAUCCCCCUCCCCUGCACCCCAAACCCUUCCCCCCAUCUCUUCCCCUGCCCGCCCGCCAUAUCCUCUGCCCGCACCCCAAAACCUUCCCCUUCUUGCCCCCCAAAUUCAUCCACCCCUCCCUGCACCCCAAACCCAGCCCACCCCAUCCCAACCCCCCCGCCCCUCCCGUCCCCCCCGCCCCCGCUGCCCUUUCCCGCACAGUUCCCCCCUUGUUCCCUGGGAGGGGGCGGCGAUUUGGGGAAGCCAAACAACGUGGACGCUCCCCCCCCCCUCCCAGAUUCCAGGGACGGCCCCCCCAAACACGUGGGGGACCCCCCAAAUUCCCACGGGGAAGGCCAUAAAACCCCCCUUUUCUCCCCGCAGCCACCUCGGUGUGUGA
rnacentral:lncRNA from 1 species